UAAAUUUGCGAUCAACGUGCAGAUUACUGCACUAUUUCUUCUCGUUCCACUCGAUGUUGACCAGAAAGUGGCAGUAUAAACGUUAGCCUCAUCACAUUCAUGUAGUAUUGUUAGAGCAUCGGCGCCCUUAAAACAUCCAGAAACGUUCAUAUAUCCACAUGGUACGUUAGUUAAGCAUAUAGACGUUUCUGUGUAAGGUACCAUCAAGGGACUCGGCAAGCAUUGUUAAUAAAGGAGCCCAAGUAUAUAUAUCCCAAAGUCAUGAUAUCGAAUGGCUUAUUAAAUGUGAGGAGUGUGACCUAGAAUUUGGGCAACUCAUGAAAUAUCCCGUCUUCAAAGGAAUCAAUUAUUUUUUAAAGGAGGGGCAAAACUGAUAUGAUUAAUCAGUAGCCAAUCAGCCAUUCUGAAAAGGCGGAUGAUCGCUUCUUUUCAAUUUAGCGUGUAAAUAAACCAGUUUGCUAUCUGAUAUCAAUUUUGCUACACCGCUAUACCGUGUGUAAUCGGCGUUAGUGAGAUGAAGCAUUGCGGUGAGUUUAGUUUGUGAUCCAAUAUAUAUUGCGGUAUGCAGGAAAUGCGAGUCAUUAAGCAUUACAAUAUUCUUGUAUGCAGAUGGUAUUGCUACAAUCUGUCGUUAUAAUAGCUCAUAACUCAACUACGGAAUGAGAUUUAGCUGUGCCC